CGUUGAGGCGGUUCUGUAAGUUGGACGUGAGAGCCCUCGGCUCAACUGGGGGAGGUCGUUCAAUACUGCAGAACUUGAGGGCAGCAGAGGGGGGUGGAAUUUCCGGUGUAGUGGUGAAAUGCGUAGAUAUCGGAAGGAACACCAGUGGCGAAGGCGGCCCCCUGGGCUGCUCCUGACGCUGAAGGCGAAAGCUAGGGGAGCGAACG
rnacentral:rRNA from 1 species